rnacentral:lncRNA from 1 species
ACACCGGCGUCGGUGCAAGCACAGGGGGGAGAGUAAAGUGGGGUGGAUACCAUGUUAUAGAUGCUGUUGAAGCCGAAAAAUUCACUGUUGGUAAUUUUCUCGCUGGAAAUGCAUGGAUUCCGGGGACUGGAGUGCCAUUUGACGUCGGACUGUGAAUUUGUUGAUUUCAACAUUAGGAAAAAUUUAAAUACCAAAGUAACCCUGUAUUUAAGAUUGUCAUAUAGCUUUUUGUGAUAAAGACUAUGUAUAUAUAGUUGAAUUUGUCAAAGAGGAGAAGGGGUUGUGUAAUAAAUCAUGCUGAAAUUGUUGUAUUUAUAAAAGAACAAGUACGUUGGCUCAAAUACUUAGACUUUUAUUUAUUUAUAUGAAAAUCUUGGUAUUUAUAUCGACUAUAAUAUUGCGUAGGAAGUGGGAAUACAUUGUUAACGUUUUUGGCCAUAAAAAAGGUUGAUUAAUCGCGUGUGAAGGAUUAUUGGGCAAAAAAAGAAAAUAGAUUACGGUGACAGGGAUAGUGAAGGAAACAGCCGCCGCCAGCUGUUUUCACGUCCAAAUGCAUUGACUUUCUUUCUAAGUCUUCUUAAUAAUAUUACACUAAGUUCAAAUAUACCAUCCUUUUAAAUAUACAUAUUUCCACCUUAGGAAUAUGUAAUUUUGCACAAGAAGUUGCUCACUAUAUCUUAAUAAAUUCAGAAAAUGAAUAGAUAUCCAAAAUAAAGAAAGGAAGGAUAAGGGACAACACCAUAUGAUAUUCCACCAAUGAAAAUGCUGCUCAAGACCAUUAGCACUUAUAUGAGACAUGUUUUAGGGUUUGAAGCCAAUAUUUAUACCUUUGGAGGUACUAUCAUUUACUGCAAACACUCAUAUUUAUUUUGUAUCCCACAAAACAAGUUCAACACUUGCCUGCCAACCCUGAGGAGAAAAGAAUGUUCUAUUCACUUUGCCAAACAUCUCUUAGAGUGGCUGCUCCAUCAAAUAUUUAUCCCACAUCUUUCUACACCCUCUCACCCCAAUCUCUUUUGUCAACCAUUUAAUUCCAUUCCAUCACUCACAAAACAAAUCAUUCAACAUUUUCUUUUAAGAAAUGGUAAAUUUCGAAAUUGUCUCUAUCAAAUAAAGCAUAACAAUAUUUAUUAUUAACAACACGUAAUUUAGUUCAUUUAACUUCUUAUUAAAGAAUUGUCAUUUGGAGUGCGAAAAUUUAUAUACUAAACUUAAGUGAGGCUCUAGUAAAAAGAAGAGAAAGUUUUAGAGGAGAGUGAUCCAAAUUAAAGCAUAUAAGUGAGGUUGCUAUAUUGUAAGUGAGUGAGACUUAAAUCUCAACAAGUAUACUGGAUUAACUCUCUUAGUAAGACCCCACAAACGUAAAGAUUUCAAAUUGUAUAGACCUUCUUACUGUUCAUCAUUAUUUUACUUGUAAUAGUUACUUGGUCCUGCUACAACUUACCAUAUAUCUAUCAAGCAAAAACCAAUCAACUCUCAAUUUGUUAUGAAAGGCUUUUAAAAUUCAAACUUUACUCAUAUGAUCGUACUCCUGCAAUGAAAAGGUCAUGGAAUGGUGAUUAUGUAGCGCUCGUUGAAGAUGAGAGUGAACUAAAUAAUGGUUUGAAUGAGGCAGAGUUCGAGUCUUAUUUUAGUUUUUAACAUUACCUGACCACAAAAUAUAUAUUUGACAUGUAUUCAAAUAUAAGUAUAAUAUUAUUGGUCUUCAAAAAUAAUAUAAUAUAGAUUAACAUAAUAUAUUUUAAAUUUAUAUCUAUAUUUAAAACGCACCAUGAAAGGAAAAGAAAAUGAUAAUCUUGACGUAGGAAUGGGACUGAUUAAAACAAUUCAAUUAAAAAAUUAUUAAAAAUUAAAAAAUUCAAUUAAAUAUUUCUUUUGCUUCCAAAAGGAAAAACAAUUUAAUUAAAAAAUUAUUAAAAAUUUAUAAUAUUAAAAAUAUUAAAAGAUAAUAAAAUUUUAUUUAAAUUGAUUCAUACUAAUUCGUAAUCCAAUUGAUUUAAAACAAUUUUUGAACUUAUACUUCGAUUAACUCUUGAUUUAAUUGGUCCAACCAAUCGAUUAAUUAAUUCAAAUAAUUAUGAAUAUUUACUGCAUUUUAUUUAUUUUGCCAUUGCUUCUAAGACUUUUCCAACAUGAAGAUGAAUUGAUUGAUGAGUGUAUAAGAUUUGACAUCUAUUAUGGGCAUCAUUGUCUUAAAAGUGAAAUUGUUGUUAAAAAAAAAAACUAUUCCAUUUAUAGUAGACUUUCACAUGUUUAAUUGUCACAUUUUUUUAACUUUUAAAAUUGCACACUUCCCAAAGAAAUAUAGGUAGCUUUUAAUAUAAAACUGUCAUAAUUUUUAAUUUAUAAGUAGAUUGAUAAUAUGAAUACAACUUUUCAACCAUCCAUAUUUUUCUUUAUUGUGAUUUAAAAAUGUUGAGGGGAUGGACUCUUAAUGAAAUUAUGUAUAAAAUCAAUAAAAGAGAAAAUUGACGAAUGAUAAAAAGAAGUUGAAUUAAGAAGCAUGACAUGAUAUAUUAAUUUAAGCUUGAGGUUAAACCAUAAGAAUGUGAAAAUAAUUGAGGCCUUAGUGUAAAUAUUCAAAAUUUAUAGGAUUAAAACAUAAAUAUGGAAAAGUUAAAGGACCAAAAGUGAAAAUAUUCAAAAGGAAGAAAAGACUAAAAUAUAAAACAAAUUGGUGAAUGAGGACCAAAUUAAAUAAGUAGAUAAAUGAGAGGGAUUAAAUUAUAAUAUUUACAAAAGUGAGUAAUGGCUCAAAAACGAAUGUUGAGAAAUUUCAAGGGCAAAAUGGACAUUUUUAAAUUCGAAUAAAUAUCAAUUAUUAAAGUGUAAUAAUUAUGGAUUAUUUGGUGUUGAAAGUUAAUUGGUUGGAAUAUUUUAUAAUUAUUUUAUUAUUAGAUUUUUUAUUAAUGAAUGAAUGAAUAAAUAAAUGAAAAAGAUGGAAAAAGUUAUCCAUCAUGUUUCCAUGUUGCCUUUUACCAUGGGAGAAAAAGAAGUUGAGUUUUAUUGAAUAUUGUCCUUUUCAUCAAAAUUCAUCAUUUUCACCUAGAAAUCAAAUGAAUUACCUUAACCUCCAAGAGGGAAAGGUGACAAGAAGACUAUGAUGAGUACGAAUAUCAUCUUGCACUCAAGAGAAUUGAGGUUAGAGGAGAGAGAAAUUCAAUCUAACGCUUGAAAUCAAUAGGACAAGGUAAGAACAUCAAGAUUUUGUCCUGUUUUAAAGCUUCAUAUUGUAGAAAAAACAUGAAAAUUAUGUUAAAGUAGAGUUUUGUUAUAUAAAGUUUUGUGUUCUUAAUACGUUACUGAAGAGAAAGUGAUGGAAAACAUUGUAGAUAAAGGAAAGGAGAUGACAAAUAUGAGAAAAGAAAAGGGUGAGGUUAGGGAAAUGAAAAUUUUAGCUAAAAAGAGAUAAAGACUCGAAUGAAUUUUAGUUAUUUUUCAAAUGACUAAAGUGAAUUAGGGGGUAAGUUAAGUGUAUUGGUAUGUAAUAAAAAUCACGGCCUAAAGGAUAAUAAUAUUUUUAGUUAUAUUUAUUAUUAGCAAACUCGUAAUUUACUCCAAUUAACUUAAGUGAAAACACUUCAUUUUUCUUAUUAAGGAAUUGUCAUUUGGAGUGCAAAAAAUUGUAAAGUAAACUUAAGUGAGUCUCUAGUAAAAAGAAAAAUGAGUCACCUAGUUUACAUCUAAGCUUUUAAGAGGAAAGUCUUAGAGGAGAGUGAUCCUGAUUAGAGUAUACAAGUGAGGAUGCUACUUUGUGAGUGAGUGAGGCAUAACUUUCAAAAAGUAUAGUGGAUUAACUCUCUAAGCAUGACCCCAAAAACAUAAAUAUUUCAAAUUGUAUAAACAAGUUCUUCGUGUUCAUCGAUGUUUUUAUUGCAAUAGUUACUAGGUCCAGCUGUAACUUACUAUAUAUUUACCAAGAAAAAACCAACCAACUCUCAAAUUGUUAUGAAUUAGGAUUUUAAAAUUUAAACUUUACUUAUAUGAUUGUAGUCCUGCGAUGAAAAGGUCACGGAAUAGUGAUUACGUAGUGAUGGUUGAUGAUGAAAGCUAACAAAAUAACAGUUUAAGUGGGGCAAAGUUUGGAGUUGAUUUUAGUUUUCAAGAUGCUAUAUUUAAUAAGCAUUAUUAAUCAAAGCUAUUAUGGGAGGAAGUUAUUCAUGAUAUAGAGGAUUCAGGUGAGGAUUAGGAGAGUGGCCUAGUGGCGAGAUCAAUAUGGCAUAGCGUGUAACACCCUAUACCUAACCCAAUCGCUGGGUUUGGGUACCAAGUGUCACAAGAAACCCGAGUCACUUAACAAAAUUUUGCCCGGUUACUUAUCGCCUUAAUUUGUAUCAAGUGGUACAUCCAUUACUACCUAUCAGCAUUUAGUCAAUUCCAAAGAUAACAUCAUAUUUAAGAUUUAAAUCCCAAUUAUAAUUUAUCUUGUACAAGUUUUCAAUCCCUACAAUUGUCCUGCUUUAUUUAACAAAAAUAAUUAUUUAUAAUGACUUAAAACUUAAUAUUUUACUACAAUAAACUUAAUUAAUCCUCAAGGCGUGGCCUCUAAGGACGCCCCUCUAUAUACAUGAAACAGCUACCAUGCCCAUCACUUGAAUCUGGUAGUGUCUAGGUUGGUCCUUCCACUUGCUCAUUGAGUUUUCAUCUACCCUACAUACAAGCAGUAAUUUUUACAAGUUCAGAAUAACUUAGUGAGAUCUUGUACAUUGAUAUUCAUAGAAUACUUUUUAAAAUUUGGGAAAAAUAGAUUUUGUGUGCAGAUGCAAAACUCCCUAAAUUUCGUAGGAAAAGCCAAUGCCUUGUUUUCUCUGAGCUAACUGUCGGUGGUCAUAACCACUAGCCAUAACUAUGUUUUAUCAAACAAUUCUUUCUUAUGGGUUUUGACCAUGUUUAUCGCUGCUCUAAACUUUCCUUAUACCCUUCAUAAUAUGUCUCAUCUUUGAUGCCCAUAUUUGCCAACACAAAUUAGCGAAUGAAUGCGAGAUAAAGUACAAUCGAAUUAUAACCUGUUAUGAGGGGAUUGGAGUGGAGAUUGUUGUGGAGUGAUAUAUAUAUUUUUCCUGAGCAGGCCGAGGUUCAGUAUUUAUUGCGAACUCUCGUGUUGUAGUCCCUGUUUUGGCGUGCUUUUGGUUCAACUAGCUCUUAUGAGGUCUAGCGUGUUACCAGAAGAAUUAACUCUUACAAGUGAUUGGCAUGUUUUGGGUGGAAAUUUUAAGUACUCAUAUUUGUAAGUCAUUCAUAAGAUCUUAAAUCUCUAUAUUGUAACUUUUUUAGUGAUUUUUAUAGUUAUAACAUGUAUUUGAGCUUUAAAUUGAACUAUGCAAUUCACCAGGUUGUGAUUUUGGAUGACAGGGAACACAUGUAGUUGAUUUAUUAUUGAAUGAUUUAUUGUAUUACUUCGGUAAGAUUUAUUGUUUUUGUACAUCAACUUACUAAGCUUUAAUGAGCUUACUUGUGUUAUUUUCUGUUCUUGUAGAUACUUUGAAGGUUGGACAGUUGGAUCGACACUCAAGUUACACUAUCCAUCCAUUUUCGAUAGUUUUUGAACAUUUUGUCUUAGGUUUAUAAUGGCAUGUAUAGGAUGUUAUGUAAUGGUAUUUUGGUAUGUUUUUAUCUUGAUGUUUAUGAAGGAUUGAUGGACUUAUAAUGCUUGCUAGGUAAGUCUUUUUGGUCAUUUUUGAGAAUUGUUGUGUAUGGCAUUUUGGCACAAGAUGUUGGUUUGGAAAUGGUCAAUUAUGAUAUGUUUUAGGCACAUAUAGAAUGAAUUUUUUGUGCAUGGAAAUAUUGGUUAGUUGAUUUAGGAUCUUGAAAUGGUAUAUUAAUGUGUGUUUAGACGUUGUUUAGGUCCAUUUUAUAGUUUGCUUAAAUAGGUUGAAUGUUUAUGCAUGGCAUGGUUUUGGAAUGGCUUGAUUAUAGGUAAAUUUUGGGUCCACACGGCUUGAGACACGAGCGUGUGACUCAACCGUGUGUCAUUUGAUAAUUUUUUAGGGUGCAAGUUAGUGAGUUACAUAGCCUGGCACACAGGCAUGUGGGGAAAUUUAGAGAGUUACACGACCUGACACACGGGCAUGUGACAUGGCCGUGUGACCCUGUUUUGCAAAUUUUGCAUCUUUUUCCUAAACUUUUGAAACUGUUUCAAAUUGGUCCCAAAUUGUUUCUAGGUUAUUUUUAGGGCCUUGAGGGCUCGAUUUAAAGACAGUAUACAUGUAUAUGAAUGAUUUAUGAUGUGAUUAUAAUAUUGAACGAUAUAAAGUACAAAUGUUUCUAAUUGUUUAGUAAUACUCUGUAACCCUAAUCCAGCGACAGAGACGGGUUAGGGGUGUUAGAAGUAAACAUCAAAAUGAUCCUAACAAUCUAAACAAAACUUAUAAUGUCCGUAAGUCUGUAAAACCCAAAAGAAAUGUCUGAAAAUGUCCCUAUUAAACAAAAAGAAAAUCCAUAAUAAUUAAACCAAAAAUAUGAAAUUCGAGCUCUAAAGUCGCUGUCCAAUCCUAAGUCUGAGGAUCACUUGAAAUGAAACAAAAAAAAGGCGUGAGCUUUAAGCCCAGUGUGUGUUUAGACCUGUAAUCUCAGUACAAACAUACAAAACUAACGGAACGUCUCAUAGGAUAUCUCUUAAUAUUUCAAAUCAUAUUAGAUUCUAUACAAAUCGUAUCUUAUCAUAUCAUGACAUAUAAUGUAAUAUCAAAUCAUAUCAUAUCAUAUCAUAUCAAAUCAUUUCCUACCCCCAUCCGUUACACACCAUCUUCGACCAGCUAGUCACACCGUAUAAGACUACAAGAGUCUAUCCAACCAAUCACACUAAUAUGUGGUGGUGUGCCACUCAUAUAUAUGCACUUGAGCUGACAAACAUAAAUUUCUGGUCUAGCCGUCAUGUUUGCAGUAGAACUGUCGUAUAACACUUCUUUUGUCAUAUCAUAACCCACCCCCAAAACACAUGCAUAUCAUAAUCAUAUAUCAUACAUCAUACAUAUUUAUAUCACAUAUCAUAUUACAUGCAUACACACAUAUUUUCAUAUAGGCCAUAACAUAGAAUAUGAUUUAAUUCUAGAAUAUCUUAGUUAACAUACCUGAUAAGCUUAUUAAUAUAUUGUUAUAUGCUAAAACUUGCCCUUUUUCGGUCUCAUAUGAUGCCUAUAGACCCAAAUUUUGAGUCCCUCAACUGACCCCUAAUCAAGCCUAAAAAUUUUCCAAAGUGGCUCACACAGCCCAAAAACCUAGCCAGUGUGGUCCACACGGCCAACCCACAUGGUCUGUAAAGUUUCACACGACCGUGUGCUCCACAUAGCCCUUGUUUCGCAUUUUUUCCAAGUUUCAAACAAUAAUUGGGUUAGUUUCACCCACCUGAUAGAAUAGUUGAUUGACCGCACAAUAAUUGCACUCCAAAUCCUACAAUUAUUCAUCAACGAUAACCAUCAAUUCUCAAAACCCAUCCAAAAUAGCACACUUUUCACCUAAAAUUAUAGCCCCUAAACAGAAGUUAAGUGCUUACCACUCAAGAAAUCAGAGACCUGAUUGCAGCCUACUCCACUGGAGGAAGUUGAUUGUCACCCCCUUCGCGUAGUCAAAACACAAGAACGUAUAUCACAACCAAGAAACGAGGUUUACGCAUAACACAAGUCUUAUCUUGUUCAAAGAAAAACAGUUUCGAAGUAAAAGAAUAGAAAUAAUUCGACGAACUUACACCACAUUCAGAAUUUCGAUCAUAUUAACAACACCAUGCACAAACACAAGGGAAAACAGAAUGGAUGAAAGCAAGUGCCAACAAAAAAGAGAAGAUGGGAAAAAGAAAAUUUCAAAAAGAAGAAGAAACAAACAAGAAAAAGAGAGAUAACUUAUGAAGAGAAGUUGUUGGACGUGCAAAAGAAAAGAGGGAUUUUAAGAAUUUGAUGAAUCUGAUAAUUAAAAAUAAAAAAAAUAAAAUAUCCUAUAAUCACCCAACCACCAGACUUUUGUAAUUCAAUAAGCACUCAACUACUAACAAAUACAAGCAACAAAAAUACUACAUAUGCUCAUACUAAGAUUGGAACUAAAAACCCCAAAAUCCGCUAAAAUUUAACCAUUAAACCACUAGGUUCAUCAUUGUUAUAAUUCAACAAAAAAAUAAUUUAAGUCCUAAUGUAACACCCCUUACCCGAGACCGUUUCCGGAGUCGAGCACGAGGCAUUACUUAGCUUAUCUUACCAAUUCGGAGCAUAAAAACUAGGUUUGAAAAUUUAUUUAACUAUUUACAGCAAAACUGUCCAAUCGCGCAGCAGUUACUAAAUUAAUUAUAACUUGAGCUACAAAACUCGAAAUUUAAUUCCGUAAAUUUUCCCUGAAACUAGACUCAUAUAUCUACUCACCAUAAAAUUUUUAGAAUUUUUGGUUCAGCCAAUUAGUAAAGUUUAUUAGUUAAAGUCUCCCCUAUUUCACCACCUGACUUCCCUGACCUCUAGUCACUAAAAAUAAGUUUUCUCACUGUAGGAUUUUCAUAUGAAGUUCUUACUUGUUUCUACAGAAAAUAAACUCAAUGAGAAAUCUAUACAUAUAAACUAUAACUCAUAACCAUUUUUGUACAAUUUUUAAUGAUUUUCUAAACUCAAAACAGGGGACACCAAAAACUGUUCUGACCCUGUCUCACGAAAAUUCACAUAUCUUAAAAUAUAAAAUUCCUUUCGCUACACCGUUAUUUUUCCAUGAAAAUAGACUCAACAAGAUUUAAUUCCAUAUAUCAUUAACCCUCUAAUUCAUUUUAUACUAUCUUGGGUGAUUUUUCAAAGUCACGUCACUGUGCUACCUGAAUUCUAUUUCUUUGCCAAAUUUUAUCCUUUCAUGAUUUCCAUGCAUAAUUUAUCACCUAAUCUUUCAUAACAACAAACACCUUCAUCCUUAACCAUUUUAAUGACCAUACAUCAUCAAAUACUUACACAUCACUCAUUAGCAAAAUCAUCAUUACAAACAUACAAAAUAACUAAAUCCCUAUACAUGCCAUAACUCAAACGUGUUUUGACAUAAAAUACCGAGCAGUUGUGGUUGAUAGUGUGGACGAUCUCCGACUUCUUUAGGAUCCUUGAAGUAGCUUUGCAAUACUAUAAGAGAAAGAAAUAAAAGAAGUAAGCAUAAAGCUUAGUAAGUUUACUAGCAAAUAAAUAACAAUAUUUAACUUAAAUAAUUAAACUCAAUGUCUAUAUCUCUAGUUUACUCUUUAGUUAAUCUCAUACUAGUUCUCUUACUUGUUUACUUAGAAUACUUGUGUGCAUAACUUACUCAAUCCUUGCUGCAUCGUUGAACAUCAAUUGAUAGUAUAAUAAGUUCUUAAGUCUUACAACUUACCUGAGCUUGCCAUUUAUGCUUUAAACUGAACUUUCAUGAACAUGAUUCGUUUACAAGCCCGUUGAGCUACAUUGGAAUAAUAAGGAUACUCGGGUCUCUUCUGAUAAUAACAUGCCAAAGUCAUGUCCCAGACAUGGUCUUACAUGGGAUGUUCUCAUAUCGGUGCCCAUGCCAUGUCCCAGACAUGGUCUUACGGGGGACCUCUCAUCUCGGUGCCAACGCCAUGUCCCAGACAUGGUCUUACAUGGGACCUCUCAUCUCGGUGCCAAUGCCAUGUCCCAGACAUGGUCUUACAUGGGACCUCUCAUCUCGGUGCCAAUGCCAUGUCCCAGACAUGGUCUUACAUGGGACCUCUUUACCCAAAUGUCAUGACAUUCGUAUCCAGUACCAUCCUGAUGUAUCAACGGGACUUUUUAAUUUUAAUUCUCUAUCAUUUCAUGCUUAGAUAAUCAUCAAAUAAAUUCAUAAAAUAAAUUCAUAGUUGCUGGAAAAUAACAGCAUUGAUAAUAAAUAUUGAAAUAUUGCAUUUAUUUACCGUAAACUUACCUCGGUAUCAAAUAUAGUCCAAUUCAACAACUUAGUCUUCAACUUUAUUCUUCCCUUUGUCUAACCUCGAGUUUCGUUCUUCUUGAUCUAAAAUAGCAAAUUUAACUUAUUUAAUACUCACAUUCAACAAAACAGCCAUUGACUCUAACUUUUUCAAAAUUACAAUUUUGCCCCUAAACUUUUACAUAAUUACAUUUUUGACCCAAGGCUCGGAAAUUAAACUUCAUCCCUUAUUCUUAUGUUUUAUGACAUGAUGAACAUUUUUCUCUUCUAUGCCAACAUCAAAUUCCCACUCUAACAUGUACUUAUGAACAUUAGGUAUUUUUACCGAUUAUGUCGUUUUACUCGUUUUUGCUUAAAAUCGGCUAACAAAAGUUGUUUAACAUAAUUUCUAGCUUCAUAUUCUAUCAUAAAACAUCAAAAUAAACACUUUUCACCUAUGGGUAUUUUUCCAAAUAUAAACCCUAGGUUAAAUUAUUGCUAGAAUAAGCUAAAUUAAGCUACCGGGACUCCAAAAACGUAAAAAAACAUUAAAAACGGGACUUGGGAUCACUUACUAUGGAGCUUGGAAGCUUGAAAACCCUAACUAUGGC